rnacentral:piRNA from 1 species
UGAUCCAAUCAUAACAAACUG